UUCAGUGGCAAAUGACAAGGAAUCUUCAA
rnacentral:piRNA from 1 species